rnacentral:rRNA from 1 species
CUUAACACAUGCAAGUACGAACGAGAAAGCCCUUCGGGGUGAGUAGAGUGGCGCACGGGUGAGUAAUGCAUAGGAACAUACCGAUAAGUGGGGAAUAACAGUUGGAAACGACUGCUAAUACCGCAUAAUCAGGAGACUGUAAAGGUGGCCUCUUCUUGAAAGCUACCGCUUAUUGAUUGGCCUAUGUCCCAUCAGCUAGUUGGUAGGGUAAUGGCCUACCAAGGCUACGAUGGGUAGCGGGUCUGAGAGGACGAUCCGCCACACUGGGACUGAGACACGGCCCAGACUCCUACGGGAGGCAGCAGUGGGGAAUUUUGCACAAUGGGCGCAAGCCUGAUGCAGCAAUGCCGCGUGAGUGAAGAAGGCCCUUGGGUUGUAAAUCUCUUUCGGAUGGAAAGAAGGGGUUGGUUGCGAAUAGUCUCCAGCUCUGACGGUACCAUCAUAAGAAGCACCGGCUAACUCCGUGCCAGCAGCCGCGGUAAUACGGAGGGUGCAAGCGUUGUUCGGAAUUACUGGGCGUAAAGCGCUCGUAGACGGGUUCAUAAGUCAAUUGUGAAAGCCCGGGGCCUAACCCCGGAAUUGCAGUUGAAACUGUGAGUCUUGAAUAACUGAGAGGGUGGG